rnacentral:tRNA from 1 species
UGGUAUGUAGCUCAGUGGCAAAGCACUUGCCUAGCAAGUGCAACGUUCUGGGUUCAAUCCCCAGUACCAA